UACGUAGGGGGCUAGCGUUGUCCGGAAUCAUUGGGCGUAAAGCGCGUGUAGGCGGUCCGGUAAGUCCGCUGUGAAAGUCGGGGGCUCAACCCUCGGAUGCCGGUGGAUACUGUCGGGCUUGAGUAUGGAAGAGGCGAGUGGAAUUCCUGGUGUAGCGGUGAAAUGCGCAGAUAUCGGGAGGAACACCUGUGGCGAAGGCGGCCCCCUGGUCGGAUACUGACGCUGAGACGCGAAAGCGUGGGGAGCAAACAGG
rnacentral:rRNA from 1 species